UACAGAGGUCUCAAGCGUUGUUCGGAUUCAUUGGGCGUAAAGGGUGCGUAGGUGGCGCCGUAAGUCGGGUGUGAAAUUUCGGAGCUUAACUCCGAAACUGCAUUCGAUACUGCGGUGCUUGAGGACUGGAGAGGAGACUGGAAUUCCUGGUGUAGCAGUGAAAUGCGUAGAUAUCAGGAGGAAUACCGAUGGCGAAGGCAGGUCUCUGGGCUGACACUGACGCUCAUGCACGAAAGCGUGGGGAGCAAACAGG
rnacentral:rRNA from 1 species